rnacentral:rRNA from 1 species
AGUGAACGCUGGCGGUAGGCCUAACACAUGCAAGUCGAACGGCAGCACAGUAAGAGCUUGCUCUUACGGGUGGCGAGUGGCGGACGGGUGAGGAAUACAUCGGAAUCUACUUUUUCGUGGGGGAUAACGUAGGGAAACUUACGCUAAUACCGCAUACGACCUACGGGUGAAAGCAGGGGAUCUUCGGACCUUGCGCGAUUGAAUGAGCCGAUGUCGGAUUAGCUAGUUGGCGGGGUAAAGGCCCACCAAGGCGACGAUCCGUAGCUGGUCUGAGAGGAUGGUCAGCCACACUGGAACUGGGACACGGUCCAGACUCCUACGGGAGGCAGCAGUGGGGAAUAUUGGACAAUGGGCGCAAGCCUGAUCCAGCCAUACCGCGUGGGUGAAGAAGGCCUUCGGGUUGUAAAGCCCUUUUGUUGGGAAAGAAAAGCAGCAGGUUAAGACCCCGCUGUUCUGACGGUACCCAAAGAAUAAGCACCGGCUAACUUCGUG